UACACCCAGAUCUUGGUAUAGGUAAUUUUAUCAUUCACCCUCUCUCAUUGGCCUCAUCCUCCUCCUCAUAUAUACAGAUAUUGAUAAAGUGUGAUGUGAAGAACUAUAGAUAGGUCUCAGAUUUAAUUUGAGAAGUGAAAUUGAUACUUAAUUUACUGCAUGGUUUACUCUUUCUCUCUCUUCUGAAAUAAUUGUGUGAUGUGAAUUGUUCGUUUUUGGAUUUUGGGGACAAAAGUAGGAAUCUUUUCUUUCUUUCAUUUUUCUUUUUAGAAAGAAAUGAAUCUAUUGCUAGCAUGGCGGAAAGAAUCAGUUUAUGAUGGUUUUGGUUAUGUUUCCGCGGACACUGUGGGUUGCUGAGUGUUUGUGGCAUUGGAGUUGAUGGAGAGAUGAGUGGUGGCGGUCGUAGGUGUUGUCUCAUAGGCGGAGUUGAUUGUGGCAGUGACUUUGCUUUCAACUUUGUUGCUAACAUAAUGGAAUGUGCAGUAAGCCAAGUAGGCUACUGGUCAUAUACUCUCUAAUCCAGUCUGUUCGAGGAUCAAGCCCCUGUUCUGACCUCCUUCUCUCUUACAAAGAUGACAACACUGAACUAAGCUUUCAUUUUUUCCAAUCAAUAUUAAAGGGAGGCUUUCCUCCCAUCUUUUGCAUUUAAUUAUGUCACUUGUUUGCAAUUUGCUACCAGAAGCCAAGAAUUUUUCUACCCUCAAUAAUGGGGAAGAAACCUUGUUUUAUUUUAUGUUACCAAGACUGUUAGAUUGAAAUAUUCAUAGCACAUCUAUUCAUUUUUAGUGAAUUUUACCUCAAUUGAAUGUCAUACUUAAUUGUUGGUAAAACAUACAAUUCUCAUUAUAAUUUGCAAUUAAUUCCAAUCUCUUACAGCAUACAUGAAAAUUUUCUUGUAUUCAGGUUUUCUAGGGAUCACCUAUUAAUUUCAAACUUAUUUUAUUGGUACAUUAUAACAAUUUUUAGGUGGAGCUGAAAGAUUGAUUG
rnacentral:misc_RNA from 1 species